GGAAUGGUGGCUCAGCUGGUAAAGUGUUUGCCUUGCAAGCACAAGGACCUGAGUUCAAUCCCCAGCAAUCCA
rnacentral:tRNA from 1 species